CCUACGGGGGGCAGCAGUGGGGAAUAUUGCACAAUGGGGGAAACCCUGAUGCAGCAACGCCGCGUGAGCGAUGAAGGCCUUCGGGUCGUAAAGCUCUGUCCUAAGGGAAGAAUACUGACGGUACCUUAGGAGGAAGCCCCGGUUUACUACGUGCCAGCAGCCGAGGUAAAACGUAGGUGGUUAGCGUUAUCCGGAAUUACUGGGAUGAAAGGGUGCGUAGGCGGGCCUUCAAAUCAGCGGUGAAAGGCUACGACUCAACCGUAGUAAGCCUUUGAAACUGUAGGGGUUGAGUGUAGGAGAGGGGAGUGAAAGUCCAAGUCUAGAAGUGAGAAGCGAAAAUAUUGGGAAGAACACCAGUAGCGAACGGGGCUUUCAGGAAUGUAACUGACGCUGAGGAACGAAAGCGUCGGGAGCGAACAGGAUUAGAUACACCGGUAGGC
rnacentral:rRNA from 1 species